CAAGCGUUGUCCGGAAUCAUUGGGCGUAAAGAGCGUGUAGGCGGUCCGAUAAGUCGGCUGUGAAAGUCAAGGGCUCAACCCUUGAAUGCCGGCCGAUACUGUCGGGCUAGAGUCCGGAAGAGGCGAGUGGAAUUCCUGGUGUAGCGGUGAAAUGCGCAGAUAUCAGGAGGAACACCAAUGGCGAAGGCAGCUCGCUGGGACGGUACUGACGCUGAGACGCGAAAGCGUGGGGAGCAAACAGGAUUAGAUACCCUGGUAGUCCACGCCGUAAACGAUGGACACUAGGUGCGGGAGGUGUCGACUCCUCCCGUGCCGAAGCUAACGCAUUAAGUGUCCCGCCUGGGGAGUACGGCCGCAAGGCUAAAACUCAAAUGAAU
rnacentral:rRNA from 1 species